rnacentral:rRNA from 1 species
GAUGAACGCUAGCGGCAGGCCUAAUACAUGCAAGUCGAACGGUAACAUGGCAGCAAUGCUGAUGACGAGUGGCGCACGGGUGCGUAACGCGUAUGCAAUCUACCCUUUACUGGGGAAUAGCCCGGAGAAAUUCGGAUUAACACCGCAUAAUAUAUUGAGGAGGCAUCUUUUAAUAUUAAAUACUACGGAAGGUAAAGGAUGAGCAUGCGUCUGAUAGUUAGUUGGUGAGGUAACGGCUCACCAAGACGAUGAUCA